rnacentral:rRNA from 1 species
GCUUGCUUUCUCCGCUGACGAGCGGCGGACGGGUGAGUAAUGUCUGGGGAUCUGCCUGAUGGAGGGGGAUAACUACUGGAAACGGUAGCUAAUACCGCAUAACGUCGCAAGACCAAAGUGGGGGACCUUCGGGCCUCAUGCCAUCAGAUGAACCCAGAUGGGAUUAGCUAGUAGGUGAGGUAAUGGCUCACCUAGGCGACGAUCCCUAGCUGGUCUGAGAGGAUGACCAGCCACACUGGAACUGAGACACGGUCCAGACUCCUACGGGAGGCAGCGGUGGGGAAUAUUGCACAAUGGGCGCAAGCCUGAUGCAGCCAUGCCGCGUGUAUGAAGAAGGCCUUCGGGUUGUAAAGUACUUUCAGUAGGGAGGAAGGUGUACGUGUUAAUAGCACGUGCAAUUGACGUUACCUACAGAAGAAGCACCGGCUAACUCCGUGCCAGCAGCCGCGGUAAUACGGAGGGUGCAAGCGUUAAUCGGAAUUACUGGGCGUAAAGCGCACGCAGGCGGUUUGUUAAGUUGGAUGUGAAAUCCCCGGGCUUAACCUGGGAACUGCAUCCAAGACUGGCAAGCUAGAGUCUCGUAGAGGGAGGUAGAAUUCCAGGUGUAGCGGUGAAAUGCGUAGAGAUCUGGA